AAACUAACGAGGAUUGCUCUCCCCCACGUUAAUGGCCGCGCACGGGGGGAUGUAGCGCGGAGGAUCCUGCCCGGGCUGCGCCGCGCCGCGCCGCGCCGUAAUGAAGGCGCGGGCCCUUUGAUCCGGGUGGUGCCAGGCUUAUUCCCUGUGGAAGCCAUCUCAAGACCAGCUAUUGCACUAUGAAUCCCUUCUGCCUUGGAGGAUAACCUGCCCUGGUCUUAGCAUCCGUCAUCCUGCAGCCACCAGGAGAGGGGUAACUCCUGACACUGCUCAUACUUUCAUGCUGGACUGUCCCCUUUUUUUUUAUUAUACUAAAGGACAGGAAAGGAAUGUGCCAUGGUUUCAUUACUUUUGAGGAGGAAAAACAGCAACAAAGAAAAGAAAAUAGCACUCCAGUGCAAAUAUCCAGAUUUGCAACAUCCCUUGAUUUUUGUCAACAAUUAACAGAAGUGUGAUACUGGAGGCUUUUAUUAAUUGAAUAAAGCCUAGUUUUAUUUUUCUUUUCAAAAUCAUUAUCAUAUAUAUGUAUUUUUCCUUCUUUGUGUUGAAAUUGGUGAGGGUCAUCAGUACUGGCAACAGGCCUGAUGUUGUCAAGUGCUGCACUCCCCUUAACAUCAAUAGAGCCUGAAGAGUAACAAACUUGAUGCAAGAGGAGGCCUCAGAGGAGAUUGCCCUGAAGCAAAUAAAAAUUACAUCC
rnacentral:lncRNA from 7 species